CUUCUUCUCAUAGACUUCCUGAGCCCUUUCCUUUCUAUUCUUCUCAAGCUCCUGCAGUGAACAUCAUAUUGACUGUGAAAUUCAGUUAUAAAAAGAGACUUAGUGUACUCAAUAUCCAGCGACGAUGAAUAGUUUAAGGCCAAGCAACACAAUGGAAUCUCUUACAAAGGAAAACCACCACACGAUAUAUCUCAGAAAAACCACUUCCAGGGAUUACGUUGCCAAAUGGGGUCUGGACCUUUCCAAGAAAGGUAGAGUGGUGUAGACUAAAUUAGUAAAUGAAUGCAUAAGAAAUUCAAAAAAUAAAUAAAAUAAUCUAAUAAAAACAUAUAAAAAGUAUUACUCUUUGU
rnacentral:lncRNA from 1 species